rnacentral:lncRNA from 1 species
AGGCCAGCGGGAUCCUGAGGAGAGAUUCCGAGAGUGUCAACAGAGAUGCUGGACACAAGAACGUGGUGAACGAGUAUCACCGUGCGUACAACAUUGUCAACGAGAGUACCAAAGAGAGAGAGAAAAACAACAUCGUGGCCAGGAGGAGACUAGGGAUGAAAAUCAAGGACGUGGCAAACGUGAGCCUGAGGAGAGACUCAGAGAGUGCCAACAAAGGUGCCAGAGACAAGAAGAGGGCCAACAGCAAUGGCAGUGCCAACAACGUUGUCAGCAAGAGUACCAAAGAGAGAAAGAACAACACCACCGUGGCCAGGAGGAUGAAAAUCAAGGACGAGGCAAACGUGACCCCGAGGAGAGACUCAGAGAGUGCCAACACAGGUGCCAGAGACAGGAAGAGGGACAACAAAAGUGGCAGUGCCAACAACGUUGUCAACAAGAGUACCAAAGAGAGAAAGAACAACACCACCGUGUCCAAGAGACUAACCCACAAAGAGAAGAAGUGAAGAAUCCCUACUUAUUCGAGUCUCAGAGGUUCAGGUCUCGAGUCAGGGCCAGCCAUGGAGAUUUCCGCAUGCUCGAGAAAUUCACUCAAAGAUCCGAACUUCUCCAAGGAAUAGAAAAAUUCCGUGUUGCGGUCCUUGAACUUGAACCUCAGUCUUUCAUGUUGCCUCAUCACUGUGAUAGCGAAACCAUAUUUGUUGUUAUUAGAGGUAAUUUAAUCAUCUCCAUUUUCCUAAUGUUCUUGAUUACUGUUCCUCUGUCCCCAUUUAUAUGGUACAGUUGGAAUUUCGAGAGUGUACCAAGUUUUAUUGGAUUUGAAUUUUUUUGUAUGUUUUAAUUUGUUUACAGUUUCGAAAUUUCAAUUUUGCCACGUAAAUUGGAUAGAGUGGAUAUUAUUAAAACCAAACUGAAGUAUGGCAAUUACGGUAAAUUUCAACAUUUUACGCAGGACAAGGAACAAUAAGUAUAGCUGAACAAGACGAGAAGAACUCGUUCAACUUGGAGCAUGGAGAUGUAAUCAGGGUGCCUGCUGGUUCGACAUUCUACUUCCUCAACAGAGAUAACAACGAAAAGUUCUUUGUUUACGCGCUGGUCAAGUCCGUCAAUGUCCCCGGUCAUCCCCAGGUAAUCAUAGUACUAUUGAAGAUGAUAGUCCACCAUGAUUCUUGCUCAAGAGAUUAUUUUUUGCCAUCAAAUUACAAAACCUUGGUACCACAACAUGACUCCUAUUAUGAUUGUUUUAUUUUUAUUUUACCCUCGAAAUUUGUCGUAUGAAUAUGAUUUUUAUUUUUUUUUGUCUUUUAAAGAAAAACAACAAUUUGGGACUGGAUGUAGUAUAAGAUGCAUGUUUUCAGAUUCUAAUAUUCUUGCCUUUCGUAUUCAGGCAUUCUUUAGUGCGGGAGGUGAAAAUCCAGAAUCCUUCUACAGAGUAUUUAGCGAUGAUAUCCUGGAGACCUCUUUCAAUGUGAGCCUAUUUUUACUGAACAUAAAAAUGAGCCAGUUAAAUUAGGAUGGAGGGGAGUAGUACAUUUGGUGUUUCUUUUGUUAGUUUCAAUUCUCAUUGUUGAUAUUUAUUGUGAUUAGACCCCAAGGGACAGGUUAGAGAGGCUAUUUGGACAACAACAAAAGCAAGGGGUAGUAAUCAAAGCCAGUGAAGAGCAAAUUAGAGCUAUUAGCGAACACGCUUCACGUUCCACCGAGCAAACUAAAGGUGAAAAGAGAGGACCUUUCAAUCUUCUGAAGGAACGCCCAUUGUUCGGUAGCAGAUUUGGACUGUUCUUU